rnacentral:misc_RNA from 1 species
UGGUUCUGGCAUCGAUGAAGAACGCAGCGAAAUGCGAUAAGUAAUGUGAAUUGCAGAAUUUAGUGAAUCAUCGAAUCUUUGAACGCACAUUGCGCCCUUUGGUAUUCCGAGGGGCAUGCCUGUUCGAGCGUCAUUACAACCCUCAAGCUCUGCUUGGUAUUCAGCACUGCCUCUAUGACAGGCUGCAAAAGUAGUGGCGGUCACUAGCUGGCUCCAAGCGUAGUAAAUUUCUCGCUAUGGAGUUUGGCUACUGACCUGCUAACCAGCCAAUUUUUACAGGUUGACCUCGGAUCAGGUAGGGAUACCCGCUGA